UUGACAGUGCUACACACUAAAGCCCUCUUUUUAUCCACAGACCAGGUACAACACACUUCCUCACCAAUGUGCUUCAUGCAUGUCCUUAUGGAACCUCUCUAUGGGGUUAAGUCAUUCAAUCCCUAGCCUUCCUGCUGAGAUGGCC
rnacentral:sRNA from 1 species